rnacentral:rRNA from 1 species
UACGUAGGUGGCAAGCGUUGUCCGGAUUUACUGGGCGUAAAGAGCGCGCAGGCGGUCGUUCAAGUCGCGUGUGAAAGCCCCCGGCUCAACUGGGGAGGGUCACGCGAUACUGAUCGACUGGAAGGCAGGAGAGGGUAGUGGAAUUCCCGGUGUAGCGGUAAUAUGCGUAGAUAUCGGGAGGAACACCAGUGGCGAAGGCGGCUCUCUGGGGUAUUGCUGACGCUGAGGCACGAAAGCCAGGGGAGCGAACGGG